UAAAUCAAAGUUGAAUAAGUUAUAUGACUCACUUUUAGCUGAAGAAGCAAAACCCUCUCAAAACUGCUCUAUAAUAAAUACAAUUAAGGACGAAAUAAUAGCAAUUGAAACAAAAGAGAAAAUAGGUACAUUAAUCAGAUCACGUGAGUGUUUUUAUAAAGAAGAUAUCAAAAAUAUCGAAAUCUUUAAAAUAGCAGAAGAAAAAAGAGGCACAAAG
rnacentral:lncRNA from 1 species